UACGAAGGGGGCUAGCGUUGCUCGGAAUCACUGGGCGUAAAGGGCGUGUAGGCGGAUCGGCAAGUCGGGCGUGAAAUCCCCAGGCUCAACCUGGGAACUGCACUCGAAACUGCCUUUCUUGAGUACCGGAGAGGAAAGCGGAAUACCUGGUGUAGAGGUGAAAUUCGUAGAUAUCAGGUGGAACACCAGUGGCGAAGGCGGCUUUCUGGACGGUAACUGACGCUGAGGCGCGAAAGCGUGGGGAGCAAACAGG
rnacentral:rRNA from 1 species